AUGGAUAAUUGUCAGUGGGGUAGCCCGAAUUUUUCCAUUUCACAUGGAGCACCAAUCUGCAAUUCGCCGUGGCAUAUAUUAUCACAGUUAGGAGUAUAUGGACUGCAAAAGCUGUGGCGAGAUUAUCAAGGACAUGCUUUGAGCCUUAGGAUAAAACUGGCCAUUUUUUCCUUAAAUGAGAAAACUUUGACCACAUGA